rnacentral:lncRNA from 1 species
GAGUUGAUCUAGAGGUUCAUAAGGAAGAUGUUCACCAUGGCGGAUGGAAGAAACCAACCUUAAAUGGUUGCUGUGAAGAUAAGGAAAGAAUGGAGAAAUGAUUGGCAAACAACUUGACUCAAAGUAAGCAAUUGGCUUAUAUUAGCAUCUACCAUUAUUUUUAGUAAUAGAGGCAUAUAGUUGUAUCACUUAUGACAUGUUUGAUCUUCUUUUACAGAUGAUUAAGAGCCAGCUAUGCUACAGCUCAUGUCUCAAGAGUCCAAGCAGUAUUAAUAGAGUAUGUGGAAGGUGCCUGAAUCUUCUUUCACCAUUUACCCUGCGGUUAUAACCCAUGCUCAAGAACCCAGAAACUCCUCACAUACUGGAGUAGAGGCUAUCGGUAACAACCUAAAUUCUUAAACUCUGAGUUUUUUUUCACUUGUGUUUCUCACAAGAUUUAUGCUAAAGGAGUGUCUGAAUAGUUUUAUAAUUAUGUGCAUUAAUUAGUUUGCAGAUUCUUCCCAUCAAGAAUUAUUUAGGUGCCUACUAUGUGUCAGAGGCUGUUCUAGCUGCUGGAAAUAUGAAGAAAACAGAUUUAAAUUCUUGGCAGUUAUUCCAUUAACCUCUGUGAGAUACAACUAUGAUGGUUAAUUUGACCAUAUCCAAGGGAGCCAAUAGACAAAUAGCAGCAUAAUAGAAUGGGGAAAGAUUAAGAAGUCCAAGAAGCCCAGGUAUGCCGGAAGUAGCAAUGACAUUUCAUGAAUCCCCCCUGUACCCUUGCAGCCUAAAAAAUUGUUCUCUAGCCAGAUGGGGUUAAGGACUACAUUUACAGCUUAAAAUGCUCAAAAUAUCAUCAACUGGUGCUGAUGGGGGAUUUGCUUCAUUAGUUCAUUUUUAUGUAUGAGAGAAACUGUGGUUUAAAAAAAUUCAGUGUUCAUCUUUUUUCAAUUUGAGUCAAAGAGAUUUUUGGCGUUAAAGCUUUUCUAGUUUCAAAUGUUCCAACUCUGGCUGUAUUUAUGUGAUGCCAAACCAACUAGUUGAGAAAUUACAAGUAUGGGAAAUUAGCCAACCCUUUUGUCUCCAAACUGCCAACCAACCAGGUGGCCUGUUUUUUUUUUUUUUUCUUCACUGAAUCGUUCAAUCAUUCAACUGAAUUGACUGACAAUGGUCUGCAAGAGCCAAACAAAGCAUCAAAUCUGUUUUGUACAAUUCAGAGUAUUGAUUCAUUGUCAUCUGGUUGAAUAUUCUCAUUGUAGAAAAGACUGAGAAUGCAGAAAAUAUGAGACAACAAAUAUCACCCAAAGCCCCAUCAUACAUAAAUAUUGAUAUAUAGACCUUUGUAGGAUUUU